rnacentral:rRNA from 2 species
GAUGAACGCUGGCGGCGUGCCUAAUACAUGCAAGUCGAACGAGUUCUUGUUGAUGAUCGGUGCUUGCACCAGGAUUCAACAUGGAACGAGUGGCGGACGGGUGAGUAACACGUGGGUAACCUGCCCUUAAGUGGGGGAUAACAUUUGGAAACAGAUGCUAAUACCGCAUAGAUCCAAGAACCGCAUGGUUCUUGGCUGAAAGAUGGCGUAAGCUAUCGCUUUUGGAUGGACCCGCGGCGUAUUAGCUAGUUGGUGAGGUAAUGGCUCACCAAGGCGAUGAUACGUAGCCGAACUGAGAGGUUGAUCGGCCACAUUGGGACUGAGACACGGCCCAAACUCCUACGGGAGGCAGCAGUAGGGAAUCUUCCACAAUGGACGCAAGUCUGAUGGAGCAACGCCGCGUGAGUGAAGAAGGCUUUCGGGUCGUAAAACUCUGUUGUUGGAGAAGAAUGGUCGGCAGAGUAACUGUUGUCGGCGUGACGGUAUCCAACCAGAAAGCCACGGCUAACUACGUGCCAGCAGCCGCGGUAAUACGUAGGUGGCAAGCGUUAUCCGGAUUUAUUGGGCGUAAAGCGAGCGCAGGCGGUUUUUUAAGUCUGAUGUGAAAGCCCUCGGCUUAACCGAGGAAGCGCAUCGGAAACUGGGAAACUUGAGUGCAGAAGAGGACAGUGGAACUCCAUGUGUAGCGGUGAAAUGCGUAGAUAUAUGGAAGAACACCAGUGGCGAAGGCGGCUGUCUGGUCUGUAACUGACGCUGAGGCUCGAAAGCAUGGGUAGCGAACAGGAUUAGAUACCCUGGUAGUCCAUGCCGUAAACGAUGAAUGCUAGGUGUUGGAGGGUUUCCGCCCUUCAGUGCCGCAGCUAACGCAUUAAGCAUUCCGCCUGGGGAGUACGACCGCAAGGUUGAAACUCAAAGGAAUUGACGGGGGCCCGCACAAGCGGUGGAGCAUGUGGUUUAAUUCGAAGCAACGCGAAGAACCUUACCAGGUCUUGACAUCUUUUGAUCACCUGAGAGAUCAGGUUUCCCCUUCGGGGGCAAAAUGACAGGUGGUGCAUGGUUGUCGUCAGCUCGUGUCGUGAGAUGUUGGGUUAAGUCCCGCAACGAGCGCAACCCUUAUGACUAGUUGCCAGCAUUUAGUUGGGCACUCUAGUAAGACUGCCGGUGACAAACCGGAGGAAGGUGGGGAUGACGUCAAAUCAUCAUGCCCCUUAUGACCUGGGCUACACACGUGCUACAAUGGAUGGUACAACGAGUUGCGAGACCGCGAGGUCAAGCUAAUCUCUUAAAGCCAUUCUCAGUUCGGACUGUAGGCUGCAACUCGCCUACACGAAGUCGGAAUCGCUAGUAAUCGCGGAUCAGCACGCCGCGGUGAAUACGUUCCCGGGCCUUGUACACACCGCCCGUCACACCAUGAGAGUUUGUAACACCCGAAGCCGGUGGCGUAACCCUUUUAGGGAGCGAGCCGUCUAAGGUGGGACAAAUGAUUAGGGUG